CCCCCCUCGCCUAAACACCAAGCAGUCUGACAUAGGGCAUACGUGUACAAUCAUUUUAAACACAUUUCCAUAUUACGCAUCUUUUCAAGAAAAACCAGCCAAAAGGGAAAACCACAACAAAGGAAAACAAACCAACCAAAAGCUGAAAACCCCCUUGUGCCGGCCACAUUCAAUUUCCAUACAUUUGGGAGCCAUUUUCCAUCCCAAGUCCACUGGAAUUACCCCUGUUUUGCUCAGCAGACCCAAGGCACAUCACAAGACUGACCAGCACAUACAUAACCUUGUACCAUUUCUUAUUGAACAAGACUCCAUUACAUUCAGAUGCCAUCACUUAUUCAGCCAUUCCCCAAUCAGUCGGUAUCCCCUCAAUUUCCAGCUCCUUGCCACCCCAGAGGGCUUCUACAACCAUUUUUGUACAGGUGGGUCCCUUACCCUCUUUUAUGAUCUCUUUCAGACAGAAACCCAAUAAUGAGACUGCUGGGUCAAAGGGGAUGCACAGUUUGAAAGCCCUUUGGGCAGGGUUCCCAAUUGCUCUCUGGAAUGGCUGGAUCAGUUCACAACUCCACCAACAAUGCAUUAGUCUCAAUUUCUCUGUUUCUGGAUUUCUCUCUCUCCUCCCUGUUGUUCUCCCUUUAUCUUUCUUAAUUCUUCCCUGCAUCUCCAUCUUGAAUUUUUUCUCUGUGUGUCUCUCUCUCUAGCUCUGUCUUCUCUGUCUCUCCCUCUCUCUCUUUCUUUCUCUCUAUUGAUCUCUGUGGGUGUAUGUCUUCUGUCUUCCUGCAUUUCUCUCCACCCCAUUUGUUUCCCCCUCCUCCCUUUUUCUUCUAUGUUUCUCUGCAUUCUGUCUGUGUAAGUAUCUGGGUGUCUCACUCCCUGCGUCUCUGUGUUUCUAUCUCUUAAUCUGUGUGUGUAUCUCCCCCACAUCCUGUCUCUGUCUCUCUGUGUGCUUUUUGUGCUUUUUUGUUUGUGUUUACCUUUCUGUCUGAGUCUCUCCCUCUGUCCCUAUCUAUCUUGCCCUAUUUCAUGCAACAUUUUAUUAAUUGCAAUAGUAUUUUAUUUUUCCAGUUACAUGGAAAGAUUGUUUUUAACAUUCAUUUUUGAAAGAUUUUGAAUUGCAAAUUAUCCCCACUCUCUCCGUUACUUCCCCAAACACCAAUCAGCCUGACAUAGGGCAUACAUGUACAAUCAUUUUAAACACAUUUCCAUAUUAUGCAUCUUUUCAAGAAAAAUCAGACCAAAAGGGAAAAACCACAACGAAGGAAAACAAGCCAACCAAAACACCCUUGUGUCGUCCACAUUCAAUUUCCAAACAUUUGGGAGCCAUUUUCCAUCCCAAGUCUACUGGAAUUACCCUAGACCCCCGUCUUGCUCAGCAGAACCCAAGGCACAUCAGAAGAUUGACCAGCACAUAACCUUGCACCAUUUCUUAUUGAACAAGACUCCGUUACAUUCAAAUGCCAUCACUUAUUCAGCCAUUCCCCAACCGAUGGGCAUCCCUUCAAUUUUCGACUCUUUGCCACCACAAAAAGGGCCGCUACGAACAUUUUUGAACAUGUGGGCCCUUUCCCCUCUUUUAGGAUCACAUUGGAAUAGAAACCCAGUAGUGAGACUACUGGAUCAAAGGGGAUGCACAGUUUGGUAGCCCUGUGGGCAUAGUUCCAGAUUGCUUUCCAGAAUGGCUGAAUCUGACAUAGGGUACACAUGUACAAUCAUUUUAACAUAUUUCCAUACUAAUCUUAAGCAAGAAAAAUCAGACCAAAAGGGAAAAACACAAUAAAGGAAAACGAACAAACCAAAAAGUUGAAAAUACCAUUAUGCCAUUCACAGUCAAUCUCCAUAGCUCUCUGUCUACAUCUGGAUGGCAGUUUCCAUCCCAAGUCUACUGGCAUUGCCUUGGGUAACUGUAUUGUUUUGAGCUAAGGCAAAACAUACAAUGGAUCAUCACGUAAUCCAGUAUCAUUUCUUAUCAAACAAUAACAUUCCAUUACAUUCAUAUACCAUCACUCAUUCAGCCAUUCCCCAGUCGAUGGGCUUCCCCCCUCAAUUUUCACCUCCUUCCCAACAGAAAAAUGAAUGCUAAAAACAUUUCUGAACAUGUGGAUCCUUCCCCUCCUUUAAGAACUCUUUGGGAUACAGACCCAGUAGGGACACUUCUGGGUCAAAGGGGAUGCACAAUUUGGUAGCCCUUUGGGCAGAGUUCCAAAUUGCACUCCAGAAUGGCUGAAUCAGUUCACAGCUUCACCAACAAUACUUUAGCCUCUCUGUCUCUAUCUGUCUGUCUGUCUGUCUCUCUCUCUCUCUCCCUCCCUCCAUUUCUUUCUCUCUAUCUCUGUGUGUUUUCUCUCUGUAUCUCUGUGUGGUUUUCUCCAGUCCAUCUCUAUACCCCCCUCCUCCUUCUUCUUACUCUGUUUUCCUCUAUGUCUCUGUCACUCUCUCUGUGUCUCUCUCCUUCUGUGUCUCACUCCCUGUAUCUAUCUCUUUGUUUUUCUCUGUAUCUCUAUGUGUCUAUGUCUGUUUGUAUGUAUAUCCCUCCUUUUCUCUUUAUCUCUCUGGCUAAUUAUCUAUGCAUUUUUAUUUCUCUCUCCUUCUCUGUCUCUCUCAGUCUCUUUCUGUCUCUCCCUCUGACUCUGUGUUUCUUUGUCUUUCUGGCUCUGUUUCUGCCCGUCUAUCUCACUUUCCUCCACUUUACUCUCUCAUUUUAAAUUUCAACAGUAACUUAACAUGCAAAGAUUGUUUUCAACAUUCAUUUUUGUAAAGUUUUCAAUUCCAAAUGUUUCCACCUCUUUCCCUUAUGUCCCACAUCACCAAAACACCAAGCAGCCUGACAUAGGGCAUACAUGUACAAUCAUUUUAAACAUAUUUCUAUAUCACGCAUCUUUUCAAGAAAAACCAGACCAAAAGGGAAAAACACAACAAAGGAAAAACCAACCAAAAGCUGAAAAUCCCCUUGAGCCAUCCACAUUCAAUUUCCAUACAUUUAGUAGCUAUUUUCCACCCCAAGUCCCCUGGAAUUACCCUGGGCCCCCGUCUUGCUCAGCAGGACCCAAGGCACAUCACAAGAUUGACCAGCACAUACAUAACCUUGUACCAUUUCUUAUUGAACAACGUUACAUUCAGACACCAUCACUUAUUCAGCCAUUCUCCAAUCGAUGGGAGUCCCCUCAAUUUUUACCCCUUUGCCAGCACAAAAAUGAAUGCUACAAACAUUUUUGAACAUGUGGAUCCUUUCCCCUCUUUUGUGAUCACAUAGGAAUAGAAACCCAGCAGUGACACUACUAAUUCAAAGGGUAUGCACAGUUUGGUAGCCCUUUGGGCAUGGUUCCAAAUUGCUCUUCAGAAUGACUGGAUCAGUUCACAAUUCCACCAAUAAUAUAUUAGCCUCAAUAACUCUUUCUCUUUGUUUGUGGGUUUCAUUCUCUCCUUCUACUUGUCAUUCUCCCUCUAUCUCUCUUUCUUAGUUCUUAUUUGCAUCUCCAUCUUCUCCUCUCCUCCUCCAUCUCCCCCCACCUCUUUCCAGCCCAUCUCCUUCCCCCCUCCCUUUUUUGUGCCAAUCUCCCUUAUUUCCUGUCUCUCUGUGUGUCUCUCUGUAUGUCUCACUCCCCAUGUCUAUCUCUUUGUCUCUGUCUACCUGUGUGUGCAUCUCCCCCUCUUUCUGUCUCUGUUUCUCUCAGAUUAUUUGUGCAUUUUGUUUAAAUCUCCCUCUCUAGCUCAGUCUCAUUGGCGGUGUUGAUCAUCCAGUCUGUCUUUCCCCCAAUUUACUGUCUCCUUUUUAAUUACAAUAGUAUUUUAUUUUUCCAGUUACAUAUAUUGCUUCAAUAUUCAUUUUUGAAAGAUUUUGAAUUCCAAAUUAUCCCCCCUCUCUCCCUUCCCCAAACACCAAGCAGCCUGACAUAGGGCAUACACGUACAAUCAUUUUAAACAUAUUUCCAUAUCACGCAUCUUUUCAUGAAAAACCAGACCAAAAGGGAAAAACCACAACAAAGGAAAACAAACCAACCAAAAGCUAAAAACACCCUUGUGCCGGCCACAUUCAAUUUCCAUACAUUUGGGAACCAUUUUCCAUUCCAAGUCCACUGGAAUUACCCUGGAACCCGGUCUUGCUCAGCAGGACCCAAGGCACAUCACAAGACUGACCAGCAAUAACCUUGUACCAUUUCUUAUUGAACAACAUUACAUUCAGAUGCCAUCACUUAUUCAGCCAUUCCCCAACUGAUGGGCGUCCCCUCAAGAAACAUCUUGCAACCACAAAAAAGGCUGCAAUAACCAUUUUUGAACAUGUGGGCUUUCCCUCUCUUUUAUGAGCUCUUUGGGAAAGAAACCCAGUAGUGAGACUACUGGGUCAAAGGAUAUGCACAAUUUGAUAGCCCUUUGAGCAUAGUUCUCAAUUGAUCUCCAGAAUGGCUGGAUCAGUUCACAAAUUUACCAACAAGGCAUUAGCCCUACUCUCCCUCUCUAUUUCUCUUAAUCCUUCUGGGCAUCACAAUCAUCUCUCUCUUUCUGUCUCUGAGUCUCUGUCUCUCUUUCUCUCUGUCUCCCUCUCCCUCUCCAGUGCACCUCUCUUUUCCCCUCUCUCUUACUCUCUUUGUGUCUAUCUCUUUGUAUGUAUAUCUUACCCCUUUCUGUCUCUUUCUGUGUCUGUCUGUCUCUCUCUCUCUCUCUGUUUCUCUGAUUAUCUGUGCAUUUUUGUUCAUCUCCUUUGUCUCUCUCAAUCUCUCCCUCUAUCUCUCUCUUUGUCUCUAUGAGUCUGUGUGUGUCUCGGUGUCUCUUUUUUCUCUCUUUUCCCAUCAAUUCUUCUAUCUCUCUUUCCCUCCCUCAAUCUGCUCUCUGUUUGUCUCUGCUGUUCUGUCUUUAUCUCUGUCUCACCUGAUCUGUGUCGAUUUCUACAUGUCUGUCUGUAUCUCUCAUUUCUCUCUCCCACUUCAUUCUCUCUCUUUUAUAAUUUCCAUACUAUUAAUUUUUCAAAUUACAUAUAAAGAUCGUUUUUAACAUUCAUUUUUUUAAUUUAACAUUCAUUUUUGUAAGAUUUUGAAUUCCAAAUUAUCCCCACUCUCUCCAUUACUUCCCCAAAAACCAAGCAGUCUGACAUAGGGUAUACAUGUAUAAUCAUUUUAAACAUAUUUCAAUAUUAUGCAUCUUAUGCAAGAAAAACCAGACCAAAAGGGGAAAACACAACAAAGGAAAACAAACCAACCAAAAGCUGAAAACACCAUUGUGCCGUCCACAUUCAAUUUCCAUAUAUUUGGGAGCCAUUUUUCAUUCCCAGUCCACUGGAAUCGCCCUGGACCCCUGUUAUGCUCAGCAGACCCAAGGCACAUCACAAGACUGACCAGCACAUAACAUCGUACCAUUUCUUAUCGAACAACAAGACUCCGUUACAUUCAGAUGCCAUCACUUAUUCAGCCAUUCCCCAAUCGAUGGGCAUCCACUCAAUUUCCAGCUCCUUGCCACCCCACCGGGCUUCUCCAACCACUUUUGCACAGGUGGGUCCCUUCCCCUCUUUUAUAAUCCCUUACAGACAGAAACCCAGUAGUGAGACUGCUGGGUCAAAGGGUAUGCACAGUUUGAUAGCCCUUUGAGCACAGUUCCCAAUUGAUCUCCAGAAUGGCUGGAUCAGUUCACAAAUUUACCAACAAGGCAUUAGCCCUACUCUCCCUCUCUAUUUCUCUUAAUCCUUCUAUCCAUCACAAUUAUCUCUCUCUUUCUGUCUCUGAGUCUCUGUCUCUUUUUCUCUCUCUUUUACUGUCUCCCUCUCCAGAGCAUCUCUCUUUUUCCCUGUCUCUCACUUACUCUCUCUCUCUCUCUUUGUAUGUAUGUCCUCCCCUUUUUGUCUCUCUCUCCCUCUCCCUCUCUCUCUGUUUCUUGGAUUAUCUGUGCAUUUUUAUUUAUCUCUUUGUCUCUCUCAAUCUCUCCCUCUGUUUCCCUUUGUCUUUCUCUCUAUGUAUCUUCGUGUGUCUUGGUGUCUCUCUUUUCUCUCUUUUCCCACCAAUUCUUCUCUCUCUCUUUCCCUCCCUCAACCUGCUCUGUUUGUCUCUCCUUUUCUGUCUUUAUCACUGUUUCACCUGAUCUGUGUCUAUUUCUACAUGUCUGUCUGUGUCUCUCUCAUUUCUCUCUCCCACUUCAUUCUAUCUCUUUUAUAAUUUCCAUACUAUUUAUUUUUCAAAUUACAUAUAAAGAGUGUUUUUAACAUUCAUUUUUGUAAGAUUUUGAAUUCCAAAUUAUCCCCACUCUCUCCAUUACUUCCCCAAACACCAAGCAGCCUGACAUAGGGCAUACAUGUACAAUCAUUUUAAACAUAUUUCCAUAUUAUGCAUCUUAUGCAAGAAAAACCAGACCAAAAGGGAAAAACCACAACAAAGGAAAACAAACCAAACCAAUAGCUGAAAACACCCUUGUGCCGUCCACAUUCAAUUUCCAUAUAUUUGGGAGCCAUUUUUCAUCCCAAGGCCACUGGAAUCGCCCUGGACCCCUGUUUUGCUUAGCAGGACCCAAGGCACAUCACAAGAUUGACCAGCACAUAACCUUGUACCAUUUUAUACUGAACAACUUUACAUUCAGAUGCCAUCACUUACUCAGCCAUUCCCCAAUCAAUGGGCAUCCCCUCAAUUUCUAGCUCCUUGCAACCACAAAAAGGGCUACUACAACCAUUUUUGCCCAUGGAAGGCCUUUUCCCUCUUUUUUUUUAAAUUAUAGUUUUUUAUUGACAGAACAUCUUUUUCCUCUUUUAAGACCUCUUUGGGAUACAGACCCAGUAGUGAGACUGCUGGAUCAAAGAGAAUGCAGUUUGAAGGCCCUUUGGGGCUGGCUCCAAAUUGAUUUCCAGAAUGGCUGAAUCAGUUCACAAAUGCACCAACAACACAUUAGCCUCACUCUCUCUAUUUCUCCACCUUUGUUCUCUGCAUCAUGGUCUUAUCUGCCUCUGUUUCUCUCUCCUCCUCCCUCCUUCUUUGUCUGUCUCCGUGUGUCUUCUCUGUCUCCCUGCCUCUAUUUCUCUCAAGCCCAUCUUUCCCCCUCCUUCCUUUUUUCUCUCAAUCUCUCUGUCACUCUCUAUGUGUGUAUGUCUGUGUGUCCCUUUCUCUCUCUCUCUCUCUCUGUCUCUGUGUGUGUGUGUCUGUUUCUAUCACUUUUAUCUGUGUGUGCAUCUAUCCUCUAUAUAUAUUGCUCUCUGAUUGUCUGUGCAUUUUGUUUGUGUCUCCUCCUCAGUCUUUGUCUCUCUGUCUCUCUCUGUCUUAGGCUCAUCCAACCAACCCUUCUAUAUCUCUUUCCCUCCCUUCUCUCUCCCCUCCUUUCCUCACCCUGCUCUCACUGUCUCUGUCUCUCCUCUAGCCUAUCUCUGCAUAUAUAUAUAUAUACACACAUAUACACAUAUACAUACAUAUAUAUGUGUGUGUAUAUAUAUAUAUAUAUAUGUAUAUAUAUAUACUGAGAGAAAGAGAGAGAGAGAGAGAUCUCCAUCUAUCUCUCUUUAUUUGUCUUUUCCUCUCAGGCUCUGUCUCUAUGUCUCUGUGUGUCUUUCUCUCCCCACUGACCCUUCUAUAUAUCUUUUCUUCCUCAUGCUGUUCUCUCUUUCUGUUUCUGUCUCUCUCUCUCAAUAUGUCUUUCUAUCUAUAUCUCUCUCCAUCUGUCUCGCUCUCUCACAUGCUCACUGUCUCUCCCUAUCUAUCUCUCUCCCCCACUUCACUCUCUUUUUAAAAUUUCAAUACUAUUUUAUUUUUCCAGUUACAUGCAAAGAUUGUUUUUCACAUUCAUUUUUGUAAGAUUUUGAAUUCCAAAUUAUGCCCCCUCUCUCCCUUCCCCAAACACCAAGCAGUCUGACAUAGGACAUACAUGUACAAUCAUUUUAAACAUAUUUCCAUAUUACGCAUCUUUUCAAGAAAAAGCACGACAAAGGAAAACAAACCAACCAAAACACCCUUGUGCCGUCCACAUUCAAUUUUCAUACAUUUGGGGGCCAUUUUCCAUCCCAAGUCCACUAGAAUUACCCUGGACCCUUGUUUUGCUCAGCAGGACCCAAGGCACAUCACAAGACUGACCAGCAAUAACCUUGUACCAUUUCUUAUUGAACAACAUUACAUUCAGAUGACAUCACUUAUUCAGCCAUUCCCCAAUCGAUGGGCAUCCCCUCAAUUUCCAGCUCCUUGCCACCCCAGAGGGCUUCUACAACCAUUUUUGCACAGGUGGGUCCCUUCCCCUCUUUUAUAAUCCCUUAGAGACAGAAACCCAGUAGCGAGACUGCUGGGUUAAAGGGUAUGCACAGUUUGAUAGCCCUUUGAGCAUAGUUCCCAAUUGAUCUCCAGAAUGGCUGGAUCAGUUCACAAAUUUACCA
ensembl:lncRNA